UAGGGAAUAUUGGACAAUGGGCGCAAGCCUGAUCCAGCCAUGCCGCGUGAGUGAAGAAGGCCCUCGGGUUGUAAAGCUCUUUUGUUGGGGAAGAAAAGCAGUUGGUUAAUACCCGAUUGUUCUGACGGUACCCAAAGAAUAAGCACCGGCUAACUUCGUGCCAGCAGCCGCGGUAAUACGAAGGGUGCAAGCGUUACUCGGAAUUACUGGGCGUAAAGCGUGCGUAGGUGGUUGUUUAAGUCUGAUGUGAAAGCCCUGGGCUCAACCUGGGAAUGGCAUUGGAGACUGGAUAGCUAGAGUGCGGUAGAGGGUAGUGGAAUUCCCGGUGUAGCAGUGAAAUGCGUAGAGAUCGGGGAGAACAUCCGUGGCGAAGGCGACUCCCUGGGCCAGCACUGACACUGAGGCACGAAAGCGGGGGGAGCAAACA
rnacentral:rRNA from 1 species